AUGGCUCCUCUCACUCCCAGGCUUGUAGUGCCCAUAGAUGUGAAGAAGAAGCCAUGGGAGCAGGAGGUUCCUCUCCACAACCGCUGGCACCCGGAUAUCCCUCCGGUCGCCGAUGUAACUCAAGGGGAAUUAUUCCGUGUUGAGAUGGUCGAUUGCACCGGAGGGCAGGUUAGAGAUGAUGACUCGGCGGAUGAUAUCAAAUCUCUGGAUUUCGCAGCGCCUCACUAUCUCAGCGGCCCCCUUAGAGUAGUUGAUGCCGAAGGGGUUCCGGCUUCACCUGGUGAUCUUCUGGCGGUGGAGAUAUGCAACCUCGGCCCGCUUCCUGGUGACGAGUGGGGUUAUACUGGAACAUUUGAAAGGGAGCAUGGAGGCGGGUUCUUAACUGACCACUUCCCGAGUGCAAGAAAAGCCAUUUGGUAUUUCGAAGGAAUUUACACGCACUCCCCUCAGAUACCAGGUGUUCGGUUUCCGGGGUUAACUCAUCCUGGUAUAGUGGGAACUGCACCGUCAGCUGAGCUUCUCAAUAUAUGGAACCAAAGGGAAAGAGAAUUGGUCGAGGCGGGUCAUGAAUCUCUGAAAUUGUGUCAAGUUCUACACCAGAGACCUCUUGCUAGCUUACCAACCUCCCACAACUGCUUACUUGGGAAGAUGCAAGAAGGGACUGCUGAAUGGGAAAAAAUUGCAAAUGAAGCAGCAAGAACGAUUCCUGGAAGAGAGAAUGGGGGUAACUGUGACAUAAAGAAUCUAAGCAGAGGUUCCAAAGUUUAUCUACCAGUAUUUGUUGAAGGAGCAAAUUUGAGUACUGGUGAUAUGCACUUCUCCCAAGGUGAUGGUGAAGUCUCAUUUUGCGGAGCAAUAGAAAUGAGUGGAUUCCUUGAGCUAAAGUGUGAAAUCAUAAGAGGUGGCAUGAAGGAAUACUUGACUCCUGUUGGUCCAACACCACUUCAUGUAAAUCCUAUCUUUGAGAUAGGUCCGGUGGAGCCACGUUUCUCGGAAUGGUUAGUCUUUGAGGGCAUCAGCGUGGAUGAGUCGGGGAAACAACAUUUCCUUGAUGCAUCAGUUGCCUACAAGCGUGCAGUUCUCAACGCCAUUGAGUACCUUUCUAGAUUUGGGUACUCCAAGGAGCAGGUCUAUAUUUUACUGUCAUGCUGUCCAUGUGAAGGUAGGAUAUCUGGAAUAGUAGACGCCCCUAAUGCAGUGGCGACACUUGCCAUCCCUACAGCGAUAUUCGACCAGGAUAUAAAGCCAAAACGCCUGGGGAAUGGACCAAAAUUGAGAAGAUUUCCGGAUGUUCUGAGAUGA
rnacentral:rRNA from 1 species